AUUGAACGCUGGCGGCAUGCCUUACACAUGCAAGUCGAACGGCAGCACGGGAGCAAUCCUGGUGGCGAGUGGCGAACGGGUGAGUAAUAUAUCGGAACGUGCCCAGUCGUGGGGGAUAACGUAGCGAAAGCUACGCUAAUACCGCAUACGAUCUAUGGAUGAAAGCGGGGGAUCGCAAGACCUCGCGCGAUUGGAGCGGCCGAUAUCAGAUUAGGUAGUUGGUGAGGUAAAGGCUCACCAAGCCGACGAUCUGUAGCUGGUCUGAGAGGACGACCAGCCACACUGGGACUGAGACACGGCCCAGACUCCUACGGGAGGCAGCAGUGGGGAAUUUUGGACAAUGGGCGCAAGCCUGAUCCAGCAAUGCCGCGUGCAGGAUGAAGGCCUUCGGGUUGUAAACUGCUUUUGUACGGAGCGAAAAGGCUUCCACUAAUACUGGGGGCUAAUGACGGUACCGUAAGAAUAAGCACCGGCUAACUACGUGCCAGCAGCCGCCGUAACAC
rnacentral:rRNA from 1 species